rnacentral:rRNA from 1 species
UGGGGAAUAUUGGACAAUGGGGGCAACCCUGAUCCAGCCAUGCCGCGUGCGUGAAGAAGGCCUUAGGGUUGUAAAGCGCUUUCAGCGGGGACGAUGAUGACGGUACCCGCAGAAGAAGCCCCGGCUAACUCCGUGCCAGCAGCCGCGGUAAUACGGAGGGGGCAAGCGUUGUUCGGAAUUACUGGGCGUAAAGGGCGCGUAGGCGGCUGCUUAAGUCGAGGGUGAAAGCCCGGGGCUCAACCUCGGAACGGCCUUCGAGACUGGGCGGCUAGAGAUCGGAAGAGGAGGGUGGAAUACCCAGUGUAGAGGUGAAAUUCGUAGAUAUUGGGUGGAACACCAGUGGCGAAAGCGGCUCUCUGGUCCGGAUCUGACGCUGAGGCGCGAAAGCGUGGGGAGCAAACAGGAUUAGAUACCCCCGUAGUCC